CCCGCGCCGUAUUAGCUAGUUGGUGGGGUAACGGCCUACCAAGGCGACGAUACGUAGCCGACCUGAGAGGGUGAUCGGCCACACUGGAACUGAGACACGGUCCAGACUCCUACGGGAGGCAGCAGUAGGGAAUCUUCCGCAAUGGGCGAAAGCCUGACGGAGCAACGCCGCGUGAGUGAUGAAGGUCUUCGGAUCGUAAAGCUCUGUUGUUAGGGAAGAACAAAUGUGUAAGUAACUGUGCACAUCUUGACGGUACCUAACCAGAAAGCCACGGCUAACUACGUGCCAGCAGCCGCGGUAAUACGUAGGUGGCAAGCGUUAUCCGGAAUUAUUGGGCGUAAAGCGCGCGUAGGCGGUUUUUUAAGUCUGAUGUGAAAGCCCACGGCUCAACCGUGGAGGGUCAUUGGAAACUGGAAAACUUGAGUGCAGAAGAGGAAAGUGGAAUUCCAUGUGUAGCGGUGAAAUGCGCAGAGAUAUGGAGGAACACCAGUGGCGAAGGCGGCUUUCUGGUCUGCAACUGACGCUGAUGUGCGAAAGCGUGGGGAUCAAACAGGAUUAGAUACCCUGGUAGUCCACGCCGUAAACGAUGAGUGCUAAGUGUUAGGGGGUUUCCGCCCCUUAGUGCUGCAGCUAACGCAUUAAGCACUCCGCCUGGGGAGUACGGUCGCAAGACUGAAACUCAAAGGAAUUGACGGGGACCCGCACAAGCGGUGGAGCAUGUGGUUUAAUUCGAAGCAACGCGAAGAACCUUACCAAAUCUUGACAUCCUUUGACCGCUCUAGAGAUAGAGUUUUCCUCUUCGGAGGACAAAGUGACAGGUGGUGCAUGGUUGUCGUCAGCUCGUGUCGUGAGAUGUUGGGUUAAGUCCCGCAACGAGCGCAACCCUUGAACUUAGUUGCCAUCAUUCAGUUGGGCACUCUAAGUUGACUGCCGGUGACAAACCGGAGGAAGGUGGGGAUGACGUCAAAUCAUCAUGCCCCUUAUGAUUUGGGCUACACACGUGCUACAAUGGACAAUACAAAGGGCAGCGAAACCGCGAGGUCAAGCAAAUCCCAUAAAGUUGUUCUCAGUUCGGAUUGUAGUCUGCAACUCGACUACAUGAAGCUGGAAUCGCUAGUAAUCGUAGAUCAGCAUGCUACGGUGAAUACGUUCCCGGGUCUUGUACACACCGCCCGUCACACCACGAGAGUUUGUAACACCCGAAGCCGGUGGAGUAACCAUUUUGGAGCUAGCCGUCGAAGGUGGGACAAAUGAUUGGGGUGAAGUCGUAACAAGGUAGCCGUAUCGGAAGGUGCGGCUGGAUC
rnacentral:rRNA from 1 species